rnacentral:tRNA from 1 species
UUUAAUAUGGCAGAUAAGUGCGAUGGAAUUAAGAUCCAUAAAUUUAGUUAUAUUAAACUUUUAUUAAAA